rnacentral:tRNA from 1 species
GCCUGGGUGGCUCAGUCGGUUGGGCGUCUGACUUCGGCUCAGGUCAUGAUCUCACAGUCCGUGAGUUCGAGCCCCGCAUCAGGCU